rnacentral:sRNA from 1 species
UCUCUGGUGGUCAAGUGCCCUUCUCAAAGGCGAACCUCAAGUUCAUGUCUUGUCCUCCAGGCUGGGAAAGGAGAGGGAACUCGGAUGUCACUCAGGCUCAGGGCCUCCGGAGCAGCUGUGUCCCCCUUGCUCAUCCCAGAGAGACCAGGGUCCGGGACGCUAUGCUCAACAUCCUUUCCCACCUUCCGGAGGGCCGGGGUCCUACCCACCACCUGCGGGCUAGUCAUGCCCAAGAAGGUGUGAAAAGAAAAGCAAAGUUUGACGUAAUGGAGAAAAACAAGCCACUGUUUUGGGACCGUGCUGGUGGGGAGGGGAGGGUUUGUUUUUUCUACUGACUUUUGAAGGUAGAGGAAGGUUUAGAGGCCGAUUAGGGGGCCAGGGGAAACGAAGGUUUGGGGGGUAAUGGACAAAAGAAGAAAGACCAGGGGGCCGAGAAAGAAUGAGAGGAGACAAUAGAAGAGCGUCAAUCCAGCCAAGUGGAUUCCCAAAAGUCAAGCUUUUGCUGUCAACCUAGUCUGUUUCCCUCUUCCCCCUCACCCCACACACAGGUUUCCGUGGUCUAGGAUGUCCUCCGCAGACCGUGCAGAAGCAGCAUUAGGAGAAAGCGGAUGAAGAGUAAAGCCCUUGCCAGACAGUUCCUUAAACCUCUCGGGGCAAGCGCACACUGAGGGGAGGAGAGGGAGCAGCAAGGGCUGGUUUUGACCAACAGGUACACUCCAGGCUGCCUGCAUCUUGCUGGCUACUGGUGCAGCAGAGCUGGGCUGUCUGCUGUUUUCCUGGGACCCGCUAGGAGGCCCUGAGGGCACCCAACCUGUGAAAGACAGUGGACAGAGAGAACCUUCUUUGUCAUGGUGCCAGAAAGCUCCAGCAAUCUUGGCAGGUAAACCUUGGGUUCCCACCCUCCAUGUCAUAGAACAACCGAGUUCUGCCAGGAUCCAUGAAUGUACUCUAACCCUGCCCUCCGUUGCACGGGCAACUUUGUCUUCCCCUUCUCAGCACCAGUCAAAGACACCCACUGCUGGGUGUGAGGUGAAGGCUACCACAGCAGUGGCUCAUGUCUGUCUCCGGAGGACAGCCUCUCCGGUGUGACGUACAGAACAGCAUCGCCAGGGCGGUCUAAGCUGCUGCUUUUCAUAUAACAGGAGAGAAGAUUCAGCCUCACUGGUCCCUGAAGUCCUGUGAGGAGACCGAGGAGGAAUCCGGGUGCUGCUGACAAUGCGAGGCAGCCUUAGGGGUCCACUGACUGCCUCGACCAGCAAGGGGACAGGCUAAUUCAGAAGGGGACAAGCAUGCCACGGCCUCACUUAUAACAAUUUACUUCUGCAAAAGCCGAUCCUGCCCCAGAAGACUUAACUGGCCCUCACAAGGCUACCUUCCCGGAACCCUUUCCAGGCUGCCCCAUCCCAAUCACUGCCCACCGGCCCUGUCGGUCACUGGGGGCCAAGCUUCCAGCACAGGGACCUUCUGAGGACAAAGGACCAUUUCAGCACCUUAAGUCAUAGCUUACUCAUCUCCGGGGCUGCAUUUACUGGAUUAUGUUAUGACUUUCCAUUCAGAAUCGAUCUACUCCAAGGCGCAUUAGAAGAGUUCAUUAGCAUCUUUGGCUCCUUCCCUCUGCGUCUCAAGAUUAUUACUGCUUCCCCCCUACCUCCCAGACAGGAUCACACUAUGUGGCCCUAAUGUUCCGGAACUCUCUAUGUAAACCAGUGUGGCCCCAAACUCACAGACAUCCUCCUGCCUCUACCUUCAUUCCUUCCUCGGCUCUACAGAAACACCCAGCAAGUACCACACCCAGAACAGCUCAAAGGGCCUCAGUCCUGAGGGUCCACCUUCCAAGUGGUGGGAUUAGAGCUGUGCCCACUGUACCACCAUUGAUAUUUUUAAAUGACUUGAGGAUUUAAACAUGCCUGUAAUGUGUUUCCAUAAAACCCACUCUCUAAUUUCUUCCCCUCUAAUUUCUCCCUUAUCCAACCCCAUAAUUUUCUUUCAGUUUCAUGUGAUUUUUUCGAUUAUUUUCUUGUUUUUUUUAUUGCCCUGUAUUGUCUGCAUGUAUGUAUGUGCACCAAGUGAUACCCUGUGCCCUAUUGACCAGAAGAGGGUGUCAGAUCCCUGAAGUUCCAGGCUGUUGUAAGUUGCCAUGUGGAUGCUGGGAACCAAGCUCUGUGACAGUGGCAAGUGCUUGUCACCCUGAGCCAUCGUUCUAAUCCUGGUCUAUAUUACUUUUUAAAUCGUUUUAGUUGUGCUGGCAAGAUGGCUCAGCAGGCGAAAACACUUGCCUUGUAAGCCCAGAGACCUGAGUUCUUCAUGUGCAGCUAGAGGGAGAGAACUGACCUCACAGAAUUGUCCUCUGGCCUUUAUACCUGCACCGUGACACAAGUGCCCACCUGUUCACAUCGCACACACAUGUAAGCAAUCAUUGGUACUACUGUCUUAAUUGAGAUGUAAUAGAGAUAUAAUGAGCUGUACGUGUUUAUAAUACACAUUUGAUCUUUUUUACUCUUUGGAGAGCGUCUCACUAUGGAACCCAGGGUGGUCUUGAACUCAUAAUUCUCCUGAGACAGCCUCUUAGGUGCUGGCUUUGCAGGUGUGCCAACUUUGUUGGUUUGUUUUGGAGGCAUGAUCUCUCUUCAUAGUUUAUCUGUCCUGAAUGGAACUCACUCUAUGUAGAGUAGGCUGGCCUCAAACUCACCUCCAUUAAGACAAUCCCCCAAAGACUUACCCCAGCCCAACCUAAAUCUAGAAAAAUCCUCAUUGAGACUCACUCCCAAGGGAUUCUGGGCUGUCAAGCUGACAAUUAAAACCAACCAUCACAAAGCCGAAUGUGAAACGUUACAUUGUAGCUCAGCUCAACAAAUUGAGUUAAGAUAAUCACGUGCAGUGACCACAAGACCAGAGAAACCACUGGAUCCUCUAGAAGUGGAGUUACAGAUGGUUGUGAAGUGUCACGUGGGAC